AGGAAACAUGUGACCGUUCGGCCAAAACACUUAGCGUCACCCAUCCUUGACCAAUGGGGAAGAGGCAGCCCCUUCCCGGAGCACACUGGGCGUUGUAGUUCUUACUCAUGGUGGGUUCCCGGGCCACUUGGGUUCCGCUAGAGGGCGAAAUCUAUCCCCGGCUGCUAAUUUGGACCAUUUUUUAAGGUAGAAUCAGGUUAAAGGAAUGCAUCUUGAGCAAGGACCGAAUGGUCCACAGUAAUCUGGAGCAAAGGUUGGGACAUGCAUGGAACCCACUGAGGAGCCGGCAAUGGUUGUGCACUUGCAGUCAGCAUGGUGGAGUGGUGUCAGGAACUGACGUGUGGGAGAGCUUCUGAAUACAUGCACGGGAUUAGAAUGGCCCUCAGAAAGAUUGCUGUUUCCUUCUGUGACCCAACUUCGCCCAGAAUAUCUUCCAUGACGGUCUCCUCGCAGGUCGAGCCAGUAGCACUCUGGAAACUCUGGUGCAGCUCUGGUGCCCACCAGCUGAGUUUCUGUUGUUCUAGAAAACAACCGAAUUAAAGAACAGUAUGAAGUGUUAAAAGCGAAUCAUUAAAGAUUGUGUCUAAAACAGUCCCCAGAUUUUUGUACUUUGUCCCCCCUGCAGCUGUCUGAACAUUCCGCAUGCAGUGUUUCUCUCCAGUUGGUCUUAUGAGGUUGGAGGCUUCCUUUAGUGCAAGGCUUGGGGGAAAUAUUGACUCACUCUUGUGUCUCGUGUCUGCACUGCAAAAAGCACGACCUUGACAUUUUGUAAAUAUCAAUUAAGUUUAAAUUCCGGAAAAAGACCGAUUUGAAAAUUUCCUCUGUUAGUGUCCCAUUGGGCAUGGCAUUAACCCAGAAAAGAUCCCAAAGAUGAAGGAAAGGGAGCAGUGAGAUGAAAAGGUUGCAUUGACCAAUUUAGACACAGAAAUGACUUUCUGUAAUGAGCUCUCUGUGGGUUAUUAAGUGAGAUGUUGUUAUAGAAUGUCCUUGGCACCUGGCAGAGUAAUACUCAAUGAACAGCAACCUCUGUUAAAUAAAGAAAUUUCCAAAUCCUAUGCAAAAAGAAGCAGAGAUAGAAAUUCCCUCCAGAUACACUGAAAAGCAUUUUUGGUACUGGCUGAUUGACAUGUAAAUCACUUUUAAUGUUCUUAAAAUAAUUUACUUUAACAGAAAGUCACACAGACCAGAAAAACCAAGCAUUAAAAACUUUGAGAAAAUCAUCCAAGGCCACAAGCUGAAGACCCCUAAAGGAAGAGAUGGAUCUCAAACUCCCAUGCUACAUAAGAUUCUUACCUCAGAUACAAACACUCAAAAAAUCUCAGUUAUCCUUCUAUAAAGAUGAUGGCUAAAUUUUCUAAUCCCAGUUAGAAUCACAAAAUACACCUUCACUUCCCUACACUGAAGGAACAAUUUGUAAAAUGUCCAUUGAGUGUUUAAUGUUUAAAUCUCGCCACCCUGAGCUGCUAUUGGACCUGGAGAGACCUCUGUGCUGAUGAACAAGACUGACCAGUGAGUACAGUUCAGUAGUAUUUCCUCAUUUUGCUUAUGCACGUCCACAGUGCUGAGCAGUGCUAUUGACACAAACUGGAGAUAUCUAAAAGACCUCCACUGAAUUUGGAAUGUGUUAACUGUUUCUUCAUGUGUUUAAAGAACACAAUUGGAAUGAUUGAAUCACAUUUACUAUAUCAGCAAGGUAAUAGAAAAACUUCAGUUAAUUCAAAUUCUGAGAUCUCUCAAAUAUAUCGUAGCCCCACAGAUGCAGAUGACAUGGAGAAAUAGAAAGGCAGAUCUUAUUUAUCUAACAUUUCCCUCAUUUUUCUUAUCUCUUAUCUAGAGUUGUGUUGACAUUCUGUAGCUUGAGGUUCAAUGGACUUGUUCAUCUCUCUUUCCCCUGGCUGAUGUAUUUUAAGGGUGAAAGGCCACCUGUCUGUUUCACAAUGAGACUGGGUGGAAGUCCCCAACCCCUAGCUUCCAACUCCCUCCUGUGCCCUGCUCUUACCUUCAGAUGAUGGUACACCCAGAGUUGACCAUUUCUGGGGCCUUUGUACUCAGUUGGACCUUUCGGUAAGAUUGACUUAUUGGGGAAGGCAGUGACAGUGGCAUAGGCAGUAGUGACACUAUAUGAGCAGUUUUCGGAGCCUUCAUCUCUGUUGGCCAGUUUUAUGCUGCUGAUCAAAAUACUGAAGUACUUUGGGUAAACUGUGAAGAAACAAUAAUUUUUUGGUUUGUAGUACUAGAGGUUCAAGAGGAUAAUGUUGGCAUCUGCCUGGCGCUCAUCAAGGCCACAUGGCAGGUGACAUCACUCUGGGGGGGGUGGAGUACAAGCAAGAGUGGUGAGUAGUACAUAUGGGAGGGAUGAGGGACAGUGCCAGACUCACGCAGGACAACUUGUGGGGCAUUCUGAGAGUCAGGCCACAUUCCUGCAAGAAAAAUGUCAAUCUUCCACAAAGCUUUAAUCUCCACACACUAGGACCCACCUCUUAAAGAUUCCCUCAGCUCUCAGUACUGCUGUGCUGUGACCAACGUUCAUUUUGAACCUUUGGGGGGUAAAUUUUACACAAAUGAUGUUACUGUCCAUGCUAGAAGUUUCCUGUGGUCCUUAGGCAGCUCCCCAAACAGUUUAAGUUUGAAAUAUUAAGUAAAAGUAUAAUGCGUUUCCAUUUAUGUUUUGCUUUUGAUCUCUAUAUAAAAUAAUUUGUUUGCUGAAUCACUUGGAAACAAGUGACAGAUGCCAUAGUGCUUCACCUGUAUAAGAACAUAUGUCUUCCAAGGAGAAGGACAUGAGCGUAAUGCCAUCAUCCCACGUGUUGGAAAUGUAACACUGAUUAAUAUUAUAUUAUAAUUAAUAUUAUAUUAAUGAAUAUUAAUAGUUCACAUUAAAGCUUUAUUUCUUUAUAAAUGCCCUUACUAGUUACUUUUAAUCAAUGUAAUUAAACAUUUAUGACUAUUUGCAUGAAUAAGAUCAUUGUUGCUGAUUUUAGAGUUAGUUCAAAAAUUCAACUUCCAUCAACUUUCUAUCUCAAAUCUAAUUUUAACAUAUUAUUAUUUUGUUUUUAUUGAGACAGGGUUUCUCUGGCUGUCCUGGAACUAGUUCUUGUAGACAAGGCUGACCUUGAACUCACUGAGAUCUGCCUGCCUCUGCCUCCCAAGUGCUGGGAUUAAAGGUGUAUUCAGACCUACUCAGAAACAGCAAUACCCAACCACAUCUCAGAACUCCAGAACCUGUCUCUUAUCCUUUGGAGUUGGGAGCUACUCCUCUCUCCAUGUGUGAAUUCUGCAUAGAUGAUAGAGGGCCCUGGAUGAGGGGUCUGGCCUUCCCCAACUCCACAUAAGGAACUGGGAUGGGGGCAGACCCUGGUUGGCCCUGACAGUGAGUGGGAGUGACGCUCCAGGAGUGGAACAUAUGGAAGUUGUUUGUUGUUGUUGUUGUUGUUGUUGUUGUUUUGUUUUGUUUUUUAGGUUUCCCUGGAUGACCUGACAGAGCCAAAAGAAUUCAAAUCCCAAACAAGAGGGCACUAGUCUUAAGCCAGGGGGAUCUCAUUCCAAAGAAAGCCACUCGUCAAUAAAGGGAAACAAAACUGAUGGAAACACACACACA